rnacentral:rRNA from 1 species
AGCGUUGCUCGGAAUUACUGGGCGUAAAGGGAGCGUAGGCGGACAUUUAAGUCAGGGGUGAAAUCCCAGAGCUCAACUCUGGAACUGCCUCUGAUACUGGCGAUCUUGAGUCCGGGAGAGGUGAGUGGAACUCCUAGUGUAG